rnacentral:rRNA from 1 species
UCGGAUCAUGUAGAGCAGCAUAUCAAUAAGCGGAGGA